CACCCCGUCAGCUGCCUGGUCAACAGCCCCAGCCAACCAGAACGCGCUGCGUGGCAGAGACGCUGACGCGGGAGGCCACGCGGAAGGGAGACACAUGAGCGAUCCGCGUGUGCGCGAUCGAACGACUGAGAUUCGUUCCCGCGCACACGGAUGGCCUAGAUUGCACGCGCACGGACGGUCCAGAUUGAAUCGCGCACAGACGGCUCAGAUUGCAUCGUGAUGAACGGCCUAGAUUCAUUUUCUAUUUAAUCGCGAUCAGACUGCUCGGAUUGAAUUGCGAUGGAUGGCUCAGAUUAAAAGUGGAUGGUUAUAAAUAAUCUCAUCCGCACCCAAACCCUAACUGUCGCCGCCAGAGCCCCUCGCCGGAGAAGACAGCCCAGCUGCCGGGGAGCCGACCGCUGCCACUUGCCGCCGCACCAGAUCAACUUCCAGCUGCCAAACGAGGUAAAUAUUCUCCCCUUGGCUCAGAAUUCGAUUCUAAACCCACCUAUGGCCAAAUCAUAACGAAAAUACCGUCCAAUUGGCCGAAAAACACCGCUAAAGCCUUGUCGCGCUGCCGCGGGUUGUCUCGAUUUUUUCCUCCGAUGAGACCCUUCCCGAUUCCCAUUCGAUGUAAUUUUUCCACCAUUGUGACCACUGUUCCCUCCUCUAUAGGUUGAUCGGAGCAAAAAACCAAACCG
rnacentral:lncRNA from 1 species